rnacentral:rRNA from 1 species
AUUGAACGCUGGCGGCAUGCUUUACACAUGCAAGUCGAACGGCAGCGCGGGCUUCGGCCUGGCGGCGAGUGGCGAACGGGUGAGUAAUGCAUCGGAACGUGCCCAGUAGUGGGGGAUAGCCCGGCGAAAGCCGGAUUAAUACCGCAUACGACCUGAGGGUGAAAGCGGGGGACCGAAAGGCCUCGCGCUAUUGGAGCGGCCGAUGUCGGAUUAGCUAGUUGGUGGGGUAAAGGCUUACCAAGGCGACGAUCCGUAGCUGGUCUGAGAGGACGACCAGCCACAAUGGGACUUGGAAACCGGCCAGACUCCUACGGGAAGCAGCAGGGGGGAAUUUUGGACAAUGGGGGCAAACCUGAUCCAGCCAAGCCGGGGGCGGGAAGAAGGGCUUCGGGUUGUAAACCGCUUUUGUUCGGGAAGAAAUCCUCUGGGCUAAUACCCCGGGGGGAUGACGGUACCGGAAGAAUAAGCACCGGCUAACUACGUG